rnacentral:rRNA from 1 species
GGGGAAUUUUCCGCAAUGGGCGAAAGCCUGACGGAGCAAUACCGCGUGAGGGAGGAAGGCUCUUGGGUUGUAAACCUCAAAACUUAGGGAAGAAAAAAAUGACGGUACCUAAUGUAAGCAUCGGCUAACUCCGUGCCAGCAGCCGCGGUAAUACGGAGGAUGCAAGCGUUAUCCGGAAUCAUUGGGCGUAAAGAGUCCGUAGGUGGCUCUUCAAGUCUGCUUUCAAAGACCGAAGCUCAACUUCGGAAAGGGAGUGGAAACUGAAGAGCUAGAGUAUAGUAGGGGUAGAGGGAAUUCCUAGUGUAGCGGUGAAAUGCGUAGAGAUUAGGAAGAACACCAGUGGCGAAGGCGCUCUACUGGGCAUACACUGACACUGAGGGAC